UACGAAGGGAGCUAGCGUUGUUCGGAAUCACUGGGCGUAAAGCGCACGUAGGCGGAUGUGUCAGUCAGGGGUGAAAUCCCGGAGCUCAACUUCGGAACUGCCUUUGAUACAGCACGUCUUGAGUCCGAUAGAGGUGGGUGGAAUUCCUAGUGUAGAGGUGAAAUUCGUAGAUAUUAGGAAGAACACCAGUGGCGAAGGCGGCUCACUGGCCCGGUACUGACGCUGAGGCGCGAAAGCGUGGGAGCAAACAGG
rnacentral:rRNA from 1 species